AGGUAAAUGUCAGUGAACUUGGUCUUGUGACUCAGGGCGGUAAAGUUAUAUGGGGUAAAUACGCACAAGUGAUGAAUAAUCCAGAAAACGAUGGGUGUAUUAAUGCUGUCCUUCUUGUAUAACAAAUUCACCAAUAAGAGACUCGUUCAACAAUGUACAUUAAAAGCUUUAAUGUAUAAAACAAUACACACAGCACCAACCACAGGAAUAAAAAUAAUAUUUAUUUGUAAAAUCUAUUGUCAGUUGAUUGAAAUAAAUACUUGUUAUAUUACAUACUGUAAA